rnacentral:rRNA from 1 species
AUUGAACGCUAGCGGCAUGCUUAACACAUGCAAGUCGAACGAGUGGCGGACGGGUGAGUAAUAUAUGGGAACGUGCCUAGUAGAGGGGGAUAACUACUCGAAAGAGUGGCUAAUAACGCAUACUAUUGGCGCGGCCGAUAUCGGAUUAGCUAGUUGGUGGGGUAAAGGCUCACCUAGGCAACGAUCCGUAGCUGGUUUGAGAGGACGACCAGCCACACGGGGACUGAGACACGGCCCAGACUCCUACGGGAGGCAGCAGUGGGGAAUUUUGGACAAUGGGGGAAACCCUGAUCCAGCCAUCCCGCGUGUAUGAGAAGGCCUUCGGGUUGUAAAGUACUUUUGGCAGAGAAGCGGUAUCUGCAGAAUAAGCACCGGCUAACUACGUGCCAGCAGCCGCGGUAAUAC